rnacentral:rRNA from 1 species
GACGAACGCUGGCGGCGUGCUUAACACAUGCAAGUCGAACGGAAAGGCCCUGCUUGCCGGGUGCUCGAGUGGCGAACGGGUGUGUAACACGUGGGUGAUCUGCCCCUUACUUUGGGAUAAGCCUGGGAAACUGGGUCUAAUACUGGAUAGGACCAUGCUGUAGGUGGUGUGGUGGAAAGAUUAGUUUCGGUAAGGGAUGAGCUCGCGGCCUAUCAGCUUGUUGGUGGGGUAAUGGCCUACCAAGGCGUCGACGGGUAGCCGGCCUGAGAGGGUGGACGGCCACAUUGGGACUGAGAUACGGCCCAGACUCCUACGGGAGGCAGCAGUGGGGAAUAGUGCACAAUGGGCGCAAGCCUGAUGCAGCGACGCCGCGUGGGGGAUGACGGCCUUCGGGUUGUAAACUCCUUUCAGCCAUGACGAAGCCCUUGUGGUGACGGUAGUGGUAGAAGAAGCACCGGCUAACUACGUG